rnacentral:rRNA from 1 species
UACGGAGGAUGCGAGCGUUAUCCGGAUUUAUUGGGUUUAAAGGGUGCGUAGGCGGGCUUUUAAGUCAGCGGUAAAAUUGCGGGGCUCAACCUCGUCGAGCCGUUGAAACUGGGUGCCUUGAGUGGGCGAGAAGUACGCGGAAUGCGUGGUGUAGCGGUGAAAUGCAUAGAUAUCACGCAGAACUCCGAUUGCGAAGGCAGCGUACCGGCGCCCAACUGACGCUGAAGCACGAAGGCGUGGGUAUCGAACAGG